UACGGAGGGUGCAAGCGUUAUCCGGAUUCACUGGGUUUAAAGGGUGCGUAGGUGGGCUUGUAAGUCAGUGGUGAAAUCUCUGAGCUUAACUCAGAAACUGCCAUUGAUACUAUAGGUCUUGAAUCUUCUGGAGGUCAGCGGAAUAUGUCAUGUAGCGGUGAAAUGCUUAGAUAUGACAUAGAACACCAAUUGCGAAGGCAGCUGACUACGGGAGCAUUGACACUUGAGGCACGAAAGCGUGGGGAUCAAACAGG
rnacentral:rRNA from 1 species